CCAAGGAGUCUAACAUGUGCGCAAGUCGCUGAGUCUUGUGUAGGCUCGGAGGCGCAAUGAAAGUGAAGGCCGAUCUGGGCGUCGGCUGUGGUGUGAUCCACCGGGCACCAUCCCGUCGCUUCCUUGUGGAAGGCGGGGCCUGUGGCGCAACACCGGCCCGUCCCGUCCGCAACGUCGGUGGGGCGGAGCGAGAGCGUACACGUUGGGACCCGAAAGAUGGUGAACUAUGCCUGGGCAGGACGAAGCCAGAGGAAACUCUGGUGGAGGUCCGCAGCGAUUCUGACGUGCAAAUCGAUCGUCAGACCUGGGUAUAGGGGCGAAA
rnacentral:rRNA from 1 species